CAUUAAUUAAGCAUGUAUUUGUCUUCUUUGAACAUCUGUGACAUCUGUUCUUAAAACGUUAAUGGAAAUGUACUCUUUUUUUUUUAUUUUAUUUUUUUAUUAAAUGCAUUGUACCUUUGUAUAAUUGUACAAAAGGUAACGUCGCUAGCGCGUGUUUGUAGUGCAGGUAGGCAGCUUGAACAACCCAAACCAGUCUCUUUUUUCUGGUCAUGGAUGGUGUGGAAAAGGGACUGAUGGAAGCAGCGCUGUAAAAGUAUCCUUAAAACCCAGUCAGGAAAAUUAGACAUGCAAAC